UGCAGUCGAACGGUAACAGGGAGAAGCUUGCUUUUCCGCUGACGAGUGGCGCACGGGUGCGUAACGCGUAUGCAAUCUACCUCAUACUGGGGGAUAGCCUUUAGAAAUGAAGAUUAAUACCCCAUAGUCUAUUGAAGUGGCAUCGCUUUAAUAGUAAAGGUUACGGUAUGAGAUGAGCAUGCGUCCUAUUAGUUAGUUGGUGAGGUAACGGCUUACCAAGACGACGAUAGGUAGGGGCCCUGAGAGGGGGAUCCCCCACACUGGUACUGAGACNCGGACCANANNCCUACGGGAGGCANCNNUGANGAAUAUUGGACAAUGGGNGAGAGCC
rnacentral:rRNA from 1 species